rnacentral:rRNA from 1 species
AUACAUAGGGGGCAAGCGUUAUCCGGAAUUAUUGGGCGUAAAGAGUGAGCAGGCGGUUAAUUAAGUCUGAGGUUAAAGCGUGGGGCUCAACCCCAUAAAGCCUUGGAAACUGAUUGACUAGAGUACGGGAGAAGUGAAGGGAACUCCAUGGGUAGCGGUGAAAUGCGUAGAUAUAUGGAAGAACACCAGUGGCGAAGGCGCUUCACUAGCCCGAAACUGACGCUCAGUCACGAAAGCGUGGGUAGCAAAUAGGAUUAGAUACCCUAGUAGUCCACGCUGUAAACGAUGACAACUAAAUAUUGCCGCGAGGCAGUGUUGAAGCUAACGCAUUAAGUUGUCCGCCUGGGGAGUACGGUCGCAAGACUGAAACUUAAAGGAAUUGGCGGAG